UCGGCUUGAAAUUCCAAAACAAGCGGUCCAUGGUCGAUUGUUUAUGAUGUAACAUCGAUUUAUAACAAUGAUUGUUUAAACAAUAAUAGAAAACAGCUUGACUCUCUGAGUUUAAUUUUAGAAUCGUUGAAGAAACUUAAAGCUUCUGACAGUUUUUUUGUUAAUGGGAUAUCCAUUACUUUCUCAAGUUAAUGUUGGUAUUUUCUAUGUGCUUGUUAAUAUGUUCUUAAGACCGGAGUGAUUAAAUCUGUUGAAACGGGUCAUGCUUUUGUGUUUUGUUCAAAACUUAAUGGCAAAAGUAUAGAUGAUUUAAUGUCCGUUUUGUAUAAUGUAAAAGAACAUAUCAAGGAUCUUAAUAUUACAGAAAUUCUUGAAAAGCAAGGCCAAUCCUUACAAUUCCUUUUUUCCAAUCGAUAAACUUAUGCAUGAGUCCAUUUAUAAAAACUUUGUUGCUGUUAAUUAUUUGGUUAUCAUCAAUGACGUGAAAAAAAACUAUUUCUUCAAAUUUGCGAC